CUGCACAAUUCAUUGGCUUGUUCUUCUCUCUGUACAGAGCAAAGCUAUUUGUAGUGUGCUACAUAAACUGAAGGCUAAUUAGCAGCGUAACAGCUCGUUACCGCUGCCAGUCUCCUUCAUACAUUU